CUAAGCUCCAAUUCAGAUUUGUAAAAGAAUACAUCGAAUCCAUGAAUUGAGCCAAAGACGAUAUACCGAACGCUACAACAAACACAUGUCGACUAUAUAUGCAUACAUAUAAGACAAACCGACGAUAAACCCACCUCGAUUGCUAAUCCCAAUCCGACGCGACGUCGAGAAUGGCGGAAUCGCACCCUCGCCCGGCCUCCUCGCGAUACUACGACAACAAACGUACCCUCGAACGGUACCGCGGUGCGACGUCAACGACGAUCCCCACCACCCGAAGCCUUCUCCACGUACGGCUCAAGAACUAUAUAGAAA
rnacentral:lncRNA from 1 species